UGUGGUCAAGCUAGAUAAGGGUGCAUGGUGGAUGCCUAGGCGUCCACAGGCGAAGAAAGACGUGGCAGCCUGCGAUAAGCUCCGGGGAGUUGGCAAACAAGCGUUGAUCCGGAGAUGUCUGAAUGGGGAAACCCCGCGUCGCUGAACAGGCGGCGUGACCGCGGCAUGAAUGCAUAGUGUCGUGGAGCCUACCCAGGGAACUGAAACAUCUCAGUACCUGGAGGAAAGGAAAUCAACCGAGACUCCGUCAGUAGCGGCGAGCGAACGCGGACAUAGCCCAAACCAGUCUUCGGACUGGGGUUGCGGGGCCUCGAGGAGUUACAAAAGCGCGAUCAGCGGAACAGUCUGGAAAGGCUGACAACAUAGGGUGACAGUCCCGUACGCGACGAUCGAUGCUCUCCGUUGAGAGGAUUCCCAGAGUAGCGCGGAUGCCGUGAAACUCCGCGUGAAGCCGGGGGGCCCACCCUCCAAGGCUAAGUACUCGUGGACGACCGAUAGAGAACAAGUAAGGCGACUGAAAGGUGAAAAGAACCGCAAUAAGCGGAGUAAAAAGAACCUGAAACCAUGCAUCUACAAGCAGUCAGAGACCUAUACCCCGCAAGGGGAAUGGUCGAUGGCGUACCUUUUGCAUAAUGGACCGGCGAGUUACUCCUCUGUGGCAAGGCUAAACCGCGCACGCGGUGGAGCCGUAGCGAAAGCGAGUCUGAAUAGGGCGAAUGAGUCGCAGGGGGUAGACCCGAAACUGCGUGAUCUACCCAUGGGCAGAAUGAAGCGCCCCUAACCGGGCGCGGAGGUUCGAAGCCGUGAACGUUGAAAAGUUCUGGCAUGACCUGUGGGGAGGAGUAAAAGUCUAAUCAAACGCAGAGAUAGCUGGUUCUCCCCGAAAACGCUUGAGGGCGUGUCUUGGGAAACUACAUCACGGGGGUAGAGCUACUGAAUGGAUCGUGGGGCCCACCAGGCUACCGCCUCCAAUCAAACUCCGAAUACCGUGAUGACUAUCCCGGGAAAAAGACUGUGGGUGAUAAUGUCCACGGUCAAAAGGGAAACAACCCAGACCGUCAGCUAAGGUCCCGAAUGAUGUCUAAGUGCGUAAGGAAGUUGGAUUUCACAGACAGCGGGGAUGUUGGCUUAGAAGCAGCCACCAUUUAAAAAGUGCGUAAUAGCUUACCCGUCGAGAAAUCCGGCACCGAUAAUGAACGGGACUAAGACAUCAACCGAAGCUGCGGCUGCAUAAAGGCGCGAGUCUUUAUGCGGGGUAGGGGAGCGCUGAUAGGCAGAUACAAGGCGUACCGUGAGGAGCGCUGCUGGGCCUAUCAGGUGAGUAUGCCGGUUUGAGUAACGAUAAUGAGGGUGAAAAUCCCUCACGCCGUAAGCCUAAGGUUUCCUGGGGAAGGUAAAUCCGCCCAGGGUUAGUCGGACCCUAAGGCCAGGCCGAAAGGCGUAGCCGAUGGACAGCAGGUUAAUAUUCCUGCACUCCGUGCAAAGGUCGAAGCGUGCGUGCGUUUGGUCGAUCCACAGCCCACGAUUAGGUUCGAGGGUGCCCGAGAGGGCGAGGCCGAUUUGUUGCUGAAGUGUGGUUAGACGGAACCGAGAAAAGCGUACGUGGACGAUGUACGGACCCGUACUAAAACUGACACAGGUAGGCGAGGAGAGUAUCCUCAGGCGCUCGAGAGAACGGUCCUUAAGGAACUAGGCAAAUUAACCCCGUAACUCCGGGAGAAGGGGUCCCUUCUGCUUGUAGCAAUACGCGCAGAGGGCGCAGAGAAACGGCAGCGGCGACUGUUUAUCAAAAACACAGGUCUCUGCAAACUCGCAAGAGGACGUAUAGAGACUGACGCCUGCUCGGUGCGGGAAUGUUAAGGAAGGCGGUCAAGGGGUUCGCCCCUGAAGCUGGCGACCGAAGCACCCGUAAACGGCGGCC
rnacentral:rRNA from 1 species